GGUGGAUAUGUUGGUUCAAGCUUGUAGUCGUGCCUGGUAGGUAAAUCCGCCGGGCAUAGAUGAGGAGUGAUAACGAGGCUGCUUGCAGCCGAAGUGAGUGAUACCCUGCUUCCAGGAAAAGCCACUAAGCUUCAGCUACACACGACCGUACCGCAAACCGACACUGGUGCGCGAGAUGAGUAUUCUAAGGCGCUUGAGAGAACUCAGGAGAAGGAACUCGGCAAAUUGACACCGUAACUUCGGAAGAAGGUGUGCCUUUAGUAGGUGAAGGGAUUUACUCCUGGAGCCCAAUGAGGUUGCAAAAAAUCGGUGGCUGCGACUGUUUAUUAAAAACACAGCACUCUGCAAACACGAAAGUGGACGUAUAGGGUGUGACGCCUGCCCGGUGCUGGAAGAUUAAAUGAUGGGGUGCAAGCUCUUGAUUGAAGUCCCAGUAAACGGCGGCCGUAACGAUAACGGUCCUAAGGUAGCGAAAUUCCUUGUCGGGUAAGUUCCGACCUGCACGAAUGGCGUAACGAUGGCCACACUGUCUCCUCCUGAGACUCAGCGAAGUUGAAAUGUUUGUGAUGAUGCAAUCUCCCCGCGGAAAGACGGAAAGACCCCAUGAACCUUUACUGUAGCUUUGUAUUGGACUUUGAACAGAUCUGUGUAGGAUAGGUGGGAGGCUUUGAAGUAGGGUCGCUAGAUCUUAUGGAGCCAACGUUGAAAUACCACCAUGGUGUGUUUGAGGUUCUAACCUAGGUCCAUUAUCUGGAUCGGGGACAGUGCAUGGUAGGCAGUUUGACUGGGGCGGUCUCCUCCCAAAGCGUAACGGAGGAGUUCGAAGGUGCGCUAGUUACGGUCGGACAUCGUGACGAUAGUGCAAUGGCAUAAGCGUGCUUAACUGCGAGACUGACAAGUCGAGCAGAUGCGAAAGCAGGACAUAGUGAUCCGGUGGUUCUGUAUGGAAGGGCCAUCGCUCAACGGAUAAAAGGUACUCUGGGGAUAACAGGCUGAUAUCGCCCAAGAGUUCAUAUCGACGGCGGUGUUUGGCACCUGAUGUCGGCUCAUCUCAUCCUGGGGCUGUAGCCGGUCCCAAGGGUAUGGCUGUUCGCCAUUUAAAGAGGUACGUGAGCUGGGUUUAAAACGUCGUGAGACAGUUUGGUCCCUAUCUUCCGUGGGCGCUGCAGAUUUGAGGAAGCCUGCUCCUAGUACGAGAGGACCGGAGUGGACACACCUCUGGUGUAUCGGUUGUCACGCCAGUGGCAUUACCGAGUAGCUAAGUGUGGAAGAGAUAACCGCUGAAAGCAUCUAAGCGGGAAACUCGUUUCAAGAUGAGAUCUGCCGGGGCCUUGAGCCCCCUAAAGAGUCGUUCAAGACCAGGACGUUGAUAGGUCAGGUGUGGAAGCGCAGUAAUGCGUUAAGCUAACUGAUACUAAUUGCUCGUGCGGCUUGACCU
rnacentral:rRNA from 1 species